UAAUAAUGUUGAGGGUAAUUUCUGAGAAUACUUUUAAAUCUCUCCCAAGCUUAGGAGAGAUUCUCUCCUUUCUAUUGUGUAAAACUCAGAAUCUCACUUCUUAAAUG
rfam:Capsicum annuum cultivar Zunla-1 chromosome 3, whole genome shotgun sequence